AUGGAAACAGUGAGUCAAUACCGGCUCCAAACGCACAAAACGUGGCUUUCACUUUCUCUCAAUCCCUCACGUCUCACUCCAGAAGAUGAAACACUUGUAGUUAACAUGGAUCCACAAAUACCUUGUAAAAGGCAGAAAACACUGGUUGAAUCAACUCAAAUCGUACUCUAUAAUCAGCGUGAAACAUGUUUUUUUCCUUUAGUCAAUAUUUUUGUUCUGUCAAUUUCUUAAUUUUUGUUUGACCGUCACAGUGAUUUUCUUGAUCAUUUUAAGAAUCUGAUUCAGAUCGUAAGUUUUUCUUUUGAAACCAAGGUUUUUUCUCUCAGUGUCUUAAAAUUUGUUUGCUCUCCAAAGUGUUUUUCUUGAUCCUAUUGGCACAAAUCUAAUCCCAUACUACUGCAUUUUGAAUUUGUGAUUGACUCGGGCUGGAUACAAUUUUAUGUCAAAGGUACAGUCUCCUUCCACUCCCCCUCCAACCCUCCCGAGGUAAAAAUUCCCCACACUUGGCCAUGCCACUCUGUGCCUCCUGGCAACGCCCACUUUCAUGGCAUUUUUCAAAUCUUGACUAGGGGUGGAGUUACAUUUUCUGAUGGUGUGCAGUCCAUCUUUAAAUUAAGCCUUUCUUGUCCUCAGGUGUGUAAUCCUGUUUCAGUUACUUAACUUUUUAAUAGUCUAUAUUACAGCAGGAGUAUCGCAUUUCACAAAGGUUAGACGUUUGUAUAUUAUGGGGCUACUUAAAGCUGCUUUCCGGAGUUUUCCUUCUCAGAAAUGAUGUAUGAUUUUUCACAAAUCCGUAAAAGCAAUUGUCUCAUGUACUGUGAUAAAAUGUAAGCAAUAAGUUUUUUUUGUUGCUAACCACGCCCCCUGCCCUGCAGAGCUCCGUGCAAUAGGAAACUGAACACCGACCAAAACUAACCUAGCCUGGCAAGCCAGACUAAAUAAAUGUAUUAUUUAGUCUGGCAACGCUCCAUUGACGGCUCUCGGUUGUGGGGCGGGUUCUACCGUUGUCUUUCAAAUGAUCUCCGCAUUCCACUGGACAAUGAAUGUGACAUACUCUUGUUUCACUCUGUUGCAUCAUCCCACCCACCAGGCAUAUAGAGUGCCCUGAUUGGCCCACAAACCGGAUAAAGCUCUGUGAUUUGUUCACUAAGCAGAUAGAGCACUAUGAUUGGCCCACCAUUAUGGACCAAUCACAGCUCUUUAUGUGUUUGAAACCCCCUCUAGAGAGCUAUGAUUGGCUAGCCAGAGUCCUGGUAGGAGCUGCUGAGGUUCCAAUGGAGCGUGCCUAGACCUUUCUUUGCAAAGCAAGAAUUUGGUCUAGUUCACUAGGCUAUAACUAACCAAUAGCGUUAGACUACCGCCAACCUGCUUCAAAUUUAACGACGCACCUCGGCUGAUGCAGAGUUGUAACUUUUCACGGACAAGAAAGUCUCUAAAAUAUAAAUAUAUGAGAACACAACAUGACAUGAGAAUAAUACUUGUGAAACAACAUGUUUUAGCUGGGUUUGACGUCUACAGAAGCACAUUUAUAUACAGAAACGUAAAGUCGCCAUCUUAACCCUCCCACUGUCUUUAUGGAUGACCCCGCGAGGAAAGUUGACCAUUGAUUAGGUUCAGGGGGACUGCCAGAGAUUUUGGGCCCCCUGAAAAAAUAUCAAGUUGGGCCCCCUGGGGGCUCGUCCAUAGCUGGAGCUGGGGUUCCACCCUCCCAGAUUCGAAGGGAGAAAAACAUAUAAUAUAUAUACUUCAUAUUAGUGUUUCAGUUUUGCUUAAUUAUGUAGGUCUACAUGCAUUCUUACUUAUUUACGUAUCAUUUUCACUGGCUGUCUCUCAUGAAACUGUGAAUUUCUUUCAACAGAUUUAGCAAUAUCACUGCUGGAAAAAGCAGGAAAUGCACAUGCUGAAAGGUGUUAGUCUCCUUUUCCCUUUUACUCCCUUAAAAUGUGUUUAUUUAUUCUAAGAUUUUAUUUGAUGAUACAUUUCAAAUUUGGAUAUCUAAUUAAAUUUCCAUGUGUCAAAGCUUUACAUAACUUCAUUUUCAGCUGUCUUUCCUCUUGAAAUCCAGUAUUUCUGUAUGACUGACAAAAAUUAAGGAUUCACUGCUCACAAGGUGACUUCUUUAUUAAGUCUCCAUGGCUUCAUCAUAGACACAAAAUGAAUAAGCACACAGUUCAAACCGGAGUCAGUUAGGGUUACAUAAAAUUUUAAAGUUGGACAACUUUGCAUGAAUACGUAUAUAAGUCNUUACUCCCUUAAAAUGUGUUUAUUUAUUCUAAAAUUUUAUUUGAUGAUAAAAUUCAAAUUUGGAUAUCUAAUUAAAUUUCCAUGUUGUGUCAAAGCUUUACAUAACUACAUUUUCAGCUGUCUUUCCUCUUGAAAUCAAGUAUUUCUGUAUGACUGACAAAAAUUAAGGAUUCACUGCUGACAAGGUGACUUCUUUAUUAAGUCUUCAUGGCUUCAUCAUAGACACGAAAUGAAUAAGCACACAGUUCAAACCGGAGUCAGUUAGGGUUACAUACAAUUUUAAAGUUGGAUAACUUUGCAUGAAUGCGUAUAUAAGUCUCUAGACACCCAUUUUUCUCAACAAAAAAACAGCUAAAAAUAUAUUCAGCCUUGACUGUACACAACAAGAUUUAUUAUUUACAGUGAUAUAAUUAAUUAUGCUCCUGAGUGACAUAUUUAGUGACGGACUAAAUAACAAUGCUUAAACCUGCCCAGCAUCCAAAACAAUCAAUACAUUUUUACUGAUUGAUAUAUAUAUAAUUAUCAUUAUGUGGAAAAACAAUAUGUUUAUCACCCAAAAUACCAUAGCCUUUUUAUAUUCCUUUGUAAUAGUACUGAUAAGAGAAGAGAGCCUUA
rnacentral:lncRNA from 1 species